UAUAUAGGAGCUCUGUUUUCACUCUAUUUCACUCUAUUAAAUCUUGCAACUGUACUCUUAUGGUCCAUGUUUUGUUACCGCUCGAGCUGAGCAUGCGUUUGCCGUCCACAACUGCUGUUUGCCGCCAUCGCAGACCUGCCCUUGACCUGCAUCCCUCCAGAUCCGGCAGGGUAUCCGCUGUGCUCCUGAUCCAGCAAGGCACCCAUUGCCACUCUCGAUUGGGCUAAAGGCUUGCCAUUUUUCCUGCAUGGCUAAGUGCCUGGGUUUGUCCUAAUUGAGCUGAUGGUUCUCUUCCAUGACCCACAGCUUCGAAUAGAGCAACAACACUCACCACAUGGCCCAAAAUUCCAUCCUUUGGAAUCUGUGAGGCCAAGAACCCCGGGUCAGAGAACACGAGGCUUGCCACCAUCUUGGAAGUGGCCCACCACCAUUUUGGAAGCGGCCCGCCACCAUCUUGGGAGCUCUGGGAGCAAGGACCCCCCGGAGAUGAUCACCAGAAACAAGAAGAAAAGCUCCUUCCUUCUGUGAUCCUCCAGCACUGUCUAUUGACAAAGCCUAGCAACAUGUUCACUGUAAAGAAGAAAUUCUUAAGGGGUUCAGCUCCAUUAUCCUAAAAUGGCUGCCUUUUGCAGGAUGGCAUCAUUACACCCUGUCCCUCCCUGAAAUGUCAGGACACAUCUGCUGGGAUUCAUUUAUCUACAUUCCUUUUCUCUCUGAAGGACACCAUGGGGAAGGAGAAAAAGAACAGCAAAGAGAACAAGAAUCACAUUGAGUAGCUUAGAAAGGUGGAAAAUGAAGAGGAGGUGACCAAUUCUAGAAGAUCACAGAACGCUUACAAAUGAAAAAUAAUGGGGUAUGUUUCUCUUGAGCAGUCAAUAAGUGAAAUUAUCAAAGAUCUAAAAUUUCCCAAAUAAACUGACAACAUAUAAGGUCCUGGAGACUGUCAGUGCCAUAGAUCAAAAAACCAAUUUUUCAUCUUUGCUUUUAAUUAAAGUUGCAGGAUUCCAUGAGUGAACAGCAGUAAAAUAUUAAUACAUUAAAGAAUAAACCAAAGGAAAAUGUUUGGUGCAAUGUAAGUGGUCAAACAAUAGAAGACUGUGAAAUGAAUUAAAUAUUCAUACAGUGGAUACUAUGCAGUUAUUCACAAUGUAUUUUUGAGAGGGAAAAGGUUGAUAAUAUAUUGUAAGAUGAAAAAGGAUAUUACAAAAUAGUAUAUUCCAUAUGAUAUCCAUAUUGGGAAAAAAAUAUGUGCGUAAGUCGAAAGAUUGGGAGGAUAUACAGAAAAUAAUUAACCGAAGUUACCUCUGUUAGUGAGAAUUUAACGUCUUCACAAUUUUUUCUUUUCCAAAUGAAAAGGGGAUAAGGGGAAAUUACUAUUUU